CCCGCGAGUUCCCCCGGGCCGGGGCAGCGGCGCGGCCGCGCGUCCCGCAGCGGGGCGGGGGAGCGCCCACCCCAAACACUCGGGCCCCGCGGCUCCAGAAGCGACACGCAGGCACCGGCCGUGGGGUUCGAAGCGGGGGGAGAACUGUAGGGUGGUCGCCGAGUGCCCCCCCGCCCGCGGAACCCCUCUCCCGCGGGUGCGCGGUGGUGGCUGCACAGCUCCGGUCCCGGUGCGGAGCGGGCGCGCAGCCCCGCGGGACUCCCCCCCCGCCCUGCCAAGAUGAAUGGGAGAAGAGGAUGCCAAGUUCCUGAAAGCAAUAAGCACUUUAAUAAACAUAAUAAAUGCUGGGCCCAAUUCUGCCUUUGUCUAUGUUAUUGUAAGUCUAACUUCUCUUCAUGCAGCUGACAGGUAAUUUGAGGCAGUGUAACGUGGGACAGAGUCAAACCCUUUAAUUUGGAAGAAGACCAUUUCUUUCUCUGGCCCAUGCCCAAGAAAAUAUAUAUAAGAUAUACAAAAGAUAGUAGUAGAAACUGGUUUUGUGGGGCUUUUUUUUUUUGGGGGGGGGGGGGUGUUUGGUUUUUUUUGUGUGGUUUUAGGUAAAAAUAUUAAAUUCUGGACUGAAAACUAGGCUUUUGUAGCUAAGCCAAAAGGGGGAAUGUUUAUCAUAGGUGACCGAAGAGGAGUACAACUAAUGUGCGUUUAGAACCUUGAACUGUUGUGUUAGUCCACACAAAUUUAUAAUGCCACUUUUAAAAUAACUACUGAUGUCCAAAUAGAUUUUAGCAUCUAUUAAAGGUAUCAUCUUAAGACAUAUUAAUGGGGGGAAAGGAAACUGAGAAUUAAAUUGUUAAGAUUACUUCAUAGGAAAAGAUGAUGAGCAGCAUCAGUUAGUACAGUUGGUAAAAUAUUACUUUUUUUUGGGGGGGGGGUUGGUUUUUUUUUCCUGUAGCAGAAACACACCAGAACGACAUUAUUCUCUCGGGGUCAAUAUUAAUGGCAAACCGACGGCCAGUUGUGAGCACGGGAGCGAUGAUGCCCGGGCAGUCCCAGCCCGGGGCUGAGCCGGAGGCGGCUUCGAGCCACACGGGGGAGUCGCAAUGCGCGCACGGCCAAGUUCGCGUCUCAUAAAUCACUCCUCGGAAACCUGAUUUCUCCGUGCUGCCGCCUCGUCAGUCUGUCUGGGACAAAACACGAGAUCUGCAACACUUAGCACAGCAAAAAGCCAAGCUGGGGACGCGGUGUUUCUGCAACAGAGCGGCCUCUAAGUGCGGCGGGUCGGGGUUUUUGGAGGGGGAGAAGUCUGUGCCAAGCAUGAUUCUCUUCACUGAACGCCGAGCCACCAGCUUGACUGGUGAUGCCAUGUAGAACACUAAGAAAAGUUAAAGAAAUCUCAGCCAUCAGCAAUAAAAUAUAGUGAUUUUGUGUAAUCCAUUGGGAAAGCAGAGGGUGUGGCAGCUCAUUGCGUGACAGGACAGCACGGAAUCUGACAGCGGCAGUGGAGCAGCAGCGCUGGAGCAGGAGCCAGGCCCUGCUCAUCAUCGCAUUUCUCACUGCAAAGGUUGCACAGCCCUCCACCAGAUAGCUGCAGGAAAACCGGGCACGGGCACCGUGUGGGCAGGCUCUGAUGCUGUAGAUUUAAUGAUCCUACAAAAGCCGCCUUCAGUAAGCACAGGCCAUGAGCAGUGGACACGCAGCCUGCAAGUCCUGCAGCAGUGAACCAUCCUCACUGCCCAGCUCCAUCCCCAUGUGCAGGGCACAGCGGUGAUGCGGGUCCUGAGCAAUGCGCAGAGGGAAGCUGGGACAGAGAUCUCUCAGCACGGCACAGGUUUUCUUGCAGUACUCAGGGCAUCCUAACGAACAUUCCCUUGGAUUUUUAUACACGGUUCUUUCGACCUAACCAUGUUACACAGGAGACUCUGCCAGUUUAUUGUUACCUGCUACUAAUCCAGACUGCUGCUCACACAAUACACCAUUAUCCAGCAAAACAACACGUACUGACAAACGCUGCUCAGCGAGCACUGGCCACCAAUCCGAGGGAGCCAGGGUCACUGCUGAACAAUACCAAGAGAGGUCUCACUAGCUUCUUCUCCCUCCUCCAUUCAAUGAGCUGUUAAUAGACAAGCUGUUAGAGAGAAAAAGAACUAAAUAGUUUACAAGCUUACAUUUGAAGGCCUGUGAAUUGCAUUAGCUGAGCCAGCUGAGUGAGAGCCAAGGCAAUCUCCCCACGAUUGUAGAAAAUGGCAUUGAGGCAUGUGGAGGCAAAGAAAGAAUGACAGUGACCAGGUUUACAAUAUGCAAAGCUGAAAUAAUUACUGCUUUCUGUGGCAUAGAAUUUUUAGCUGAACUACAAUAUGGAAUCAAAGCAUUCUGUUAAAUGCACAAGUGUGUUUGUAUUUUAAAACUUUCUUCUAUGCAAAUAUUUAUUUACAGCAUUAAUAAAAAUUUUCUGAAGCUG